rnacentral:tRNA from 5 species
GCGAAGGUGGCGGAAUUGGUAGACGCGCUAGCUUCAGGUGUUAGUGUUCUUACGGACGUGGGGGUUCAAGUCCCUCCCCUCGCACCA